ACACGUAGGGGGCGAGCGGUGUUCGGAAUUACUGGGCGUAAAGGGCGUGUAGGCGGCUAUAAAAGUCAGGUGUGAAAAGCCUCGGCUCAACCGAGGACUAGCACAUGAAACUAAAUAGCUUGAGUGCAGGAGAGGGGAGCGGAAUUCCCGGUGUAGCGGUGAAAUGCGUAGAUAUCGGGAAGAACACCGGUGGCGAAGGCGGCUCUCUGGACUGCAACUGACGCUGAGGCGCGAAAGCUAGGGUAGCGAACGGGAUUAGAUACCCCGGUAGUCCUAGCUGUAAACUAUGGGUACUAGGUGUUGGCAGUUACCUGUCAGUGCCGAAGUUAACGCAUUAAGUAUCCCGCCUGGGGAGUACGGCCGCAAGGCUGAA
rnacentral:rRNA from 1 species